CACUCCUACGGGAGGCAGCAGUGGGGAAUUUUGGACAAUGGGCGAAAGCCUGAUCCAGCAAUGCCGCGUGAGUGAAGAAGGCCUUCGGGUUGUAAAGCUCUUUUGUCAGGGAAGAAACGGUGAAAGCUAAUAUCUUUUGCUAAUGACGGUACCUGAAGAAUAAGCACCGGCUAACUACGUGCCAGCAGCCGCGGUAAUACGUAGGGUGCAAGCGUUAAUCGGAAUUACUGGGCGUAAAGCGUGCGCAGGCGGUUUUGUAAGUCUGAUGUGAAAUCCCCGGGCUCAACCUGGGAAUUGCAUUGGAGACUGCAAGGCUAGAAUCUGGCAGAGGGGGGUAGAAUUCCACGUGUAGCAGUGAAAUGCGUAGAUAUGUGGAGGAACACCGAUGGCGAAGGCAGCCCCCUGGGUCAAGAUUGACGCUCAUGCACGAAAGCGUGGGGAGCAAACAGGAUUAGAUACCCCAGUAGUCCCA
rnacentral:rRNA from 1 species